rnacentral:misc_RNA from 1 species
UAGGGCACAGUCCUUGUGG